UACAGAGGGUGCUAGCGUUGUUCGGAAUUAUUGGGCGUAAAGGGCGCGUAGGCGGCCCUGUGUGUCGGGUGUGAAAGCCCACCUCUUAAAGGUGGAAUUGCAUUCGAAACUACAGGGCUGGAGUGUCGGAGAGGAUGGCGGAAUUCCUGGUGUAGAGGUGAAAUUCGAUAGAUAUCAGGAGGAACACCGGUGGCGAAGGCGGCCAAUCUGGACGACAACUGACGCUGAGGCGCGGAAAGCGUGGGGAUCAAACAGGGAUUAAGA
rnacentral:rRNA from 1 species